rnacentral:rRNA from 1 species
GACGAACGCUGGCGGCGUGCUUAACACAUGCAAGUCGAGCGGUAAGGCCCUUUCGGGGGUACGACGAGCGGCGAACGGGUGAGUAACACGUGGGUGACCUGCCCUUAGCUCUGGGAUAAGCCUGGGAAACUGGGUCUAAUACCGGAUAUGACUCCAUAACGCAUGUUGUGGGGUGGAAAGCCUUGUGCGGCUAGGGAUGGGCCCGCGGCCUAUCAGCUUGUUGGGUGGGGUGAUGGCCACCAAGGCGACGACGGGUAGCCGGCCUGAGAGGGCGACCGGCCACACUGGGACUGAGACACGGCCCAGACUCCUACGGGAGGCAGCAGUGGGGAAUCUUGCGCAAUGGGCGAAAGCCUGACGCAGCGACGCCGCGUGGGGA